AUGGCAAUGCCUUUUUUCUUCUUUUUUUUCUUUUUUUUCUUUUUUUUUCUUUUUGUUUUGGUUGCUUUGGGUGCUCCGAGGCCUGGGAAGCUGCCCGGUCUCCCUCCUCACCGGGCUCAUUUGUCACUCUCAGCCCCAGCUCUGCCGGGCAGGGCUCCGCUGCUGAGCCGUCGGAGCGGGGAGCGGAAGCUCUCAGAGAGAAACUCGGCUUUCGGCCGCUGCUGCACCCGUCAGCAGCUUACGUCUCGUUCCUGCAGCGCCGGGCUGGCAGCCUCAGUAAUCCCCUGCUCGUGCCCCGGGCAGAGCUGUGCAGGAAGAUGCCCCAAAAUUCGGGGCUGCCCUCGCCUCCUGCUACCCCUGCUCGGAGACAGAGGCUCUGGAGGGAGGGAAGGGGCUUUUGGGGGACAACGGAAGGCAGGACUGGGGAUGGCCACAGCUCGGUUAUCUUCCCCGCUCAGCCCCAAGGCGCCGAGAAGUUGGGAAACAUCCUUGGAGGAGAUAACCAAACCUUGGCAGGGGCCGAGCAGGAGGAGGAAGCCGCGUGCUGAAGCUGCUCUGUUUUCGCUUCUGCCCGAGCCACCGAGCCUGGCGUGCAGCCACCAGGCCCCCCCAGCAGCCCCCAUCCUCUGCCGAGCCCUGAGGCCGAAGCACGGCCCCCCCCGAGCACCCUUCUCCUCCCCGUGGUGCCCGUGGGGUGUCACCCACCCUGCCGCAGCCACCCCGGGGGGGACACCCGUCCCUGCGCCUCGCUGUUGGUGCGGGUGCCCCAGGAGCCAGCCCGGCCCCGGGGAGCCAUCGAUGCCCCCAGGCGUGCAGGGGGCAGGCGAGGGGCAGCUCCGACCCUCCUCUUCCUCGUGCUGGGCAAAGCUGGAGGCUGCUGAUGGCCGGGGAGGAGAGGACACAUCGCCCCCAGCUCCCGCUCUGCUGGCACCAGCCCCUCCCGGGGCACCCUCCCCAGCACCCUGGCGCUCACCAGCACCCGAACAAACCUCAAAACUUGCCACCAAACCUGGCAACAAACUCCCAAAACACCCCCACGACAAAACCCACCAGCAGCGAGGCGCUGCCUCAACCCACCUCGGUCCCAAACCGGCCCCGUCCCAGCAGGGCUUCGCCCCCUCCCUACGUUCAGCAGCCGGGGCGCGAGGUCCCCCCCGGGCGCAGCGGGACGCACCCGGCUCUCCCGGCAGCCUCCCCGCUCCUUACCUUGGCGGGCAGGGCGAGUUCGUGGACUCUGGGCAGUCGACACGAACCGGCCAGCACGCAGCGAGCGGGAGUUGCUGGCUGCCCCGCGGAGGCAGCCCGACUUCCCUUUUCCUCUCCGAGAAACGCAACCACUUCCUUACGUGGGCGUUGGGGGAGCGCGGAGCUGCUCAGCGGCCGCCCUGCCCCUGCGAGCGCCAGGCCUCUCCGCCGCACGUGGACGGGCUGCCGGCCACGCAGCGGCCCCGGGAUGCUCCCGGGAUGCUCGGUGGGAUGCGGGAGGACUUCGGCCCGUGUCGUACCAGAGCCCACCCGCGGGGAGAAACGCGUGGCAGCAUCGCACGGGGAGAGCUGGGGCUCGGCAGGACCUCGCCGUGCUGGGUGCCGGUUCCUGCAUCCCGCUGUGCCCAGCGGGACCGAGCCGGCUGCACCGUGCGCCUACACCCCCUGCACCCCUCUUUUUUUUUCCUCUCGCUUCAGAGCCAGCUGGUUUAA
rnacentral:lncRNA from 1 species